rnacentral:rRNA from 1 species
GUGAGGAAUAUUGGUCAAUGGACGCGAGUCUGAACCAGCCAAGUAGCGUGAAGGAUGACUGCCCUAUGGGUUGUAAACUUCUUUUAUAAGGGAAUAAAGUGAGGGACGUGUCCCUUUUUGUAUGUACCUUAUGAAUAAGGAUCGGCUAACUACGUGCCAGCAGCCGCGGUAAUACGUAGGGGGCAAGCGUUGUCCGGAAUGAUUGGGCGUAAAGGGCGCGUAGGCGGCCUGGUAAGUCUGGAGUGAAAGUCCUGCUUUUAAGGUGGGAAUUGCUUUGGAUACUGUCGGGCUUGAGUGCAGGAGAGGUAAGUGGAAUUCCCGGUGUAGCGGUGAAAUGCGUAGAGAUCGGGAGGAACACCAGUGGCGAAGGCGACUUACUGGACUGUAACUGACGCUGAGGCGCGAAAGUGUGGGGAGCAAACAGGAUUAGAAACCCGAGUAGUCC